rnacentral:rRNA from 1 species
UCCGGUGACGAUAACGGAGAGGACACACCUGUUCCCAUACCGAACACAGCAGUUAAGCUCUCUUGUGCAGACGAUAGUUGGUUGGAGACGACCUGUGAAAAUAUGUAGUCGCCGGAU